rnacentral:Y_RNA from 1 species
GGCUGGUCCGAUAGUCGUGGGUUAUCAGAACUUAUUCAUAUUAGUGUCACUAAAGUUGGUAUACAACCCCUCACUGCUAAAUUCGACUGGCUUAAA